UAAAGUAAUUAAUUGAACAAUAUUGAAUACAUAGGAUUUUACAGUAUAAAUUAUAGUGAUUAAUUAAACAAUUUUCAAUUUGUUACUUGCAGAACGUGGAAACAUAUGGCACAAAUUAUCAAGUUUUUUAAGGCUAUUAUUCUCUUUUACAUAUUUCUUGUUGUAACCAGCGUUGCAGUUAAUGGGAAAUGUAUGAAAGAUUGGCAAUGUAUAGGUUAUUGUCACCCUCCCCGAAUAGGGUUAUGCAUUGAUAAUAUCUGUAAAUGCAGGUGAUGACUCACUGUCGUAACUAUUAAGAAGUACCACAUCGGUUGCGAGAUGGCUUGAAUAUGUGUUUAUAGAGAUUUUAGAUAGAUUUUUUAUAUUUUCAUUAAAGUUUUAGCUUAGCUUUGCAAAGAGUUUUAAAUUUUGAUGAAUUGUGAAGAAAUAGGUGACAGCUAUUUUUUUUUUUAUGUUUCAUCUGGCUUACGAGUGUGAAUGUUCGCGAGGUGAGUUUGUUCGUGAUGUUCAGCCUCUACUCCUUGCCUUAUUCGCCUCGUGAGCGAUUUGACCUGCCUCGCAACUAGGUUUCAAUGACAAAGUGUCAGGUGUCUAUUUUCAAACUCGCGAGGCAAGUGGUUCUAUCCACGAGGCGAGCACAUGUGUCCCUAAUUUUUCUGUAAAAGAAAAUUGUUAAAUCAGUGAAAGGGUUCUGAAUUUUGGAAGAAAAAAUUAUUAUUGGAGCAUUUAUGAAGGAUGAAGACCUAGGAUUCAUUUCUUGUAAGCAAGAUUGAAGACCACAGUUCAUCCCUAUACAUUUCUGAACUCUUUUGCAAUGUUUGUAUUAUUAUAAUGUAUCUAAAGAUUAGGAUAUUAGAUUAUCCUCUUAAGAACUACUUGAACUAUGUGAUGAAUUAAUAAGUUUACUCAUAUGUAAUUAAAAGUUUAGAAUCA